rnacentral:piRNA from 1 species
CUGGGGGAUUAGCUCAAAUGGUA